AAAGACCGAAUUAUUCGGUUUUCGUGUCCAACGUUUAACCGUCCGGUAUUUUUAUUAUUGUUAGAUGAUAAAAUAUGAAUAAUACUUUAUGCAUGAUUUGUCUUUUAAAAUUUUUUCAAAUAAGACGAACGGUUAAACGUUAGACACGGAAACUCAGAAAUUGAGUUUUU
rfam:Oryza rufipogon genomic scaffold, chr12